rnacentral:lncRNA from 1 species
GACUCACUGGCUCAUCCACUUUGGCUUUUGUGUGGUGUCUUCACUGAGUAAAGCCAAGACAGAGGAAUGGAACCACAGUCUCCUACUGAGUCCACAUCGUCACCAGUGCAAACACAUGUAGCAAAGGAUUUCAGUUUUACUAUUUCAGUCAGUAGAGAAACUAACUGGGGAAAAGUUUGAAGGAAGUGCUGCUGUGAUUCUGAUCUUAGAUGCCUUCUUGAAGUCAACCACAUAAGCAGCUAACUUUCUGUUCCUGCUGAUGUAAUUUCUUUUUGUUUUCCACAUAUCCUUUAUGGUUCUAUUAAUAGCUGUGGUCUCAGAUGCUCAAACGUGGCCAGUGUGAAUCAAUGUCUUCCUGCUGCCUGCUGAUGAAGAUGGAAAACUCCCAGCUACCCAGGCAGCACCAUGUCUGCCUAUAUGCUGCAAUGCUUCCCAUCAUGAAAUCAGUGGACUAAACCGUGAACUGUAAACCAGUCCCAAUUAAGUGUUUUCUUU